rnacentral:piRNA from 1 species
UGACACGACUCUGACUCCAGAAAUUCCACU